GGAGGCUCUUCUUGCAGUUCCCUUCUCCUCCCUCACGUGCCCUCUGUGAUGCCGGGAGCCGGAAUAUGACGUCAUUCCGGCCCAGGAAUACUAAACAGCACGCUACAGGAGUGAGGAGCUGCCUUACACUGGACCCCAGGCAGGCUGGAUGUCUGAGUCUGUGUGUCAGUGAGUGUUUGACUGUCAGCAAGUGUGUUUGUGUCUGUCAGUGAGUAUGUAUGUCAG